CAUUCGCAGUUCCCGCACUAUUUCGUAAAACAUUAGUUUCAUUCAAUCACAACCAUCAACAUCAUCAACAUCAUCAACCAUUACCAUCAGCACCCCUCCGCUUCACCACCUCCAUCCCAAUCACCCACCCCCGUCCCAUUGCUUACCUUUCCAUCCCCUCCCACUACCAUUCAUUCGACCAUUCUUAGUUACGGAAUAAUCCAAGCGUGUCGAGAAGCCGCGAGAUUCGAAAGCCGCAAAUCGAUCUCUCGAAGGCCGCUGAUUGGAGCUAGUUCGAUCGUGUAAUCGGUCGAGCGCCUCUAUCUGUGUGGGUGUAACUCGAGAUGUCCGUACCUCUAAACAGACGUGAACCAAUCACGUGUAACGUAGGAGGUACUUACUUAACAGCCUUAGAAUGAGAGAGAGAGAGAGAGAGAAAGAGCAAUAAGAGCCGGCACGGUGUGGACAAAAAAGAAAAAAAAAAAAAAAAAAAAAAAAAAAAAA